AACGAACGCUGGCGGCAUGCCUAACACAUGCAAGUCGAACGAGACCUUCGGGUCUAGUGGCGCACGGGUGCGUAACGCGUGGGAACCUGCCCUUAGGUUCGGAAUAACUCCCCGAAAGGGGUGCUAAUACCGGAUAAUGUCUUCGGACCAAAGAUUUAUCGCCUUUGGAUGGGCCCGCGUUGGAUUAGCUAGUUGGUAGGGUAAAAGCCUACCAAGGCGACGAUCCAUAGCUGGUCUGAGAGGAUGAUCAGCCACACUGGGACUGAGACACGGCCCAGACUCCUACGGGAGGCAGCAGUGGGGAAUAUUGGACAAUGGGCGAAAGCCUGAUCCAGCAAUGCCGCGUGAGUGUUGAAGGCCUUAGGGUUGUAAAGCUCUUUUACCCGGGAUGAUAAUGACAGUACCGGGAGAAUAAGCUCCGGCUAACUCCGU
rnacentral:rRNA from 1 species